UCCCCGAUGGCUCAGAUGGUAAAGAAUCUGCCUGCAAUGCAGGAGACCUAGGUUCAAUCCCUGGGUUGGGAA
rnacentral:tRNA from 1 species